rnacentral:rRNA from 1 species
CUUAUAUUCUGUAGCAAGGUUAACCGAAUAGGGGAGCCGGAGGGAAACCGAGUCUUAAUUGGGCGUUAAGUUGCAGGGUAUAGACCCGAAACCCGGUGAUCUAGCCAUGGGCAGGUUGAAGGUUGGGUAACACUAACUGGAGGACCGAACCGACUAAUGUUGAAAAAUUAGCGGAUGACCUGUGGCUGGGGGUGAAAGGCCAAUCAAACCGGGAGAUAGCUGGUUCUCCCCGAAAGCUAUUUAGGUAGCGCCUCGUGAAUUCAUCUCCGGGGGUAGAGCACUGUUUCGGCUAGGGGGCCAUCCCGGCUUACCAACCCGAUGCAAACUGCGAAUACCGGAGAAUGUUAUCACGGGAGACACACGGCGGGUGCUAACGUCCGUCGUGAAGAGGGAAACAACCCAGACCGCCAGCUAAGGUCCCAAAGUCAUGGUUAAGUGGGAAACGAUGUGGGAAGGCCCAGACAGCCAGGAUGUUGGCUUAGAAGCAGCCAUCAUUUAAAGAAAGCGUAAUAGCUCACUGGUCGAGUCGGCCUGCGCG